GUCCCUGUAGCGAAAUGGAUAGCGCUUUGGAGUUCUAAUCGAAGGGUCGUGGGUUCUCCCACCUGGGAUG